AGAGUUUGAUCCUGGCUCAGGACGAACGCUGGCGGCGUGCCUAAUACAUGCAAGUCGAGCGAGCUUGCCUAGAUGAUUUUGGUGCUUGCACUAAAUGAAACUAGAUACAAGCGAGCGGCGGACGGGUGAGUAACACGUGGGUAACCUGCCCAAGAGACUGGGAUAACACCUGGAAACAGAUGCUAAUACCGGAUAACAACACUAGACGCAUGUCUAGAGUUUGAAAGAUGGUUCUGCUAUCACUCUUGGAUGGACCUGCGGUGCAUUAGCUAGUUGGUAAGGUAACGGCUUACCAAGGCAAUGAUGCAUAGCCGAGUUGAGAGACUGAUCGGCCACAUUGGGACUGAGACACGGCCCAAACUCCUACGGGAGGCAGCAGUAGGGAAUCUUCCACAAUGGACGAAAGUCUGAUGGAGCAACGCCGCGUGAGUGAAGAAGGGUUUCGGCUCGUAAAGCUCUGUUGGUAGUGAAGAAAGAUAGAGGUAGUAACUGGCCUUUAUUUGACGGUAAUUACUUAGAAAGUCACGGCUAAUCUACGUGCCAGCAGCCGCGGUAAUACGUAGGUGGCAAGCGUUGUCCGGAUUUAUUGGGCGUAAAGCGAGUGCAGGCGGUUCAAUAAGUCUGAUGUGAAAGCCUUCGGCUCAACCGGAGAAUUGCAUCAGAAACUGUUGAACUUGAGUGCAGAAGAGGAGAGUGGAACUCCAUGUGUAGCGGUGGAAUGCGUAGAUAUAUGGAAGAACACCAGUGGCGAAGGCGGCUCUCUGGUCUGCAACUGACGCUGAGGCUCGAAAGCAUGGGUAGCGAACAGGAUUAGAUACCCUGGUAGUCCAUGCCGUAAACGAUGAGUGCUAAGUGUUGGGAGGUUUCCGCCUCUCAGUGUCUGCAGUCU
rnacentral:rRNA from 1 species